UACGUAGGGUGCAAGCGUUGUUCGGAAUCAUUGGGCGUAAAGGGCGUGUAGGCGGUUUGUUAAGUCAUGUGUGAAAUCCCUCGGCUUAACCGGGGAACUGCGUCUGAUACUGGUUGGCUUGAAUCCGGGAGAGGGAUGCAGAAUUCCAGGUGUAGCGGUGAAAUGCGUAGAUAUCUGGAGGAAUACCGGUGGCGAAGGCGGCAUCCUGGACCGGCAUUGACGCUGAUGAGCGAAAGCUAGGGGAGCAAACGGG
rnacentral:rRNA from 1 species